rnacentral:tRNA from 1 species
GCCUCCGUGGCCUAAUGGAUAAGGCAUCGGUCUCCUAAACCGGGGAUUGUGGGUUCGAGUCCCACGGGGCACCGGAGGUG